rnacentral:rRNA from 1 species
AAUGGGGGCAACCCUGAUCUAGCCAUGCCGCGUGAGUGAUGAAGGCCUUAGGGUCGUAAAGCUCUUUCGCCUGUGAUGAUAAUGACAGUAGCAGGUAAAGAAACCCCGGCUAACUCCGUGCCAGCAGCCGCGGUAAUACGGAGGGGGUUAGCGUUGUUCGGAAUUACUGGGCGUAAAGCGCGCGUAGGCGGAUUAGAAAGUUGGGGGUGAAAUCCCGGGGCUCAACCCCGGAACUGCCUCCAAAACUGCUAGUCUAGAGUUCGAGAGAGGUGAGUGGAAUUCCGAGUGUAGAGGUGAAAUUCGUAGAUAUUCGGAGGAACACCAGUGGCGAAGGCGGCUCACUGGCUCGAUACCGACGCUGAGGGACGAAAGCUAGGGUAGCAAACGGGAUU